AUUCAAUUACAAUAAAAAUGACUUGCAUCAUCGGAAAACGUACAAAAAACCGCAUAUAAGACUUCUAAACAGUUUUUUGAUUUUUCAAAUAGUCUUUGAGUUAUUGCUGUUUUAAAUGUGAAAAUUGGACCAAAAUGUCGCAAUAAGGACUGGGUACUAGGUCAAAAACGCGUUUUUGACAGCGUAUAACUCGAAAACAAUUUUAGAUAAAAAAAACAAACUGUUUACUGUCGUUCCAAUUGAAGUGUUGCUUAAAUAUUGAUUCAAUACAUUACCUCGGGCUGACCAAUUCAUUUGAUCAAGUUCCUCGAGAUAUUCAUACACUUUCUGUGAAAGAGCCAAUUCCAAGUAUUUGAUAAUUUCUGGUCACUUCCUUUCUAUUUAUGAUUGGUUAGUUGCACAAACAACAAAGGUGAUUGGUGCAUUCAAACUAUAUUCAACAGGAAGUUUACAAUUAUACUAGGAAGUGUAUGAAUAUCUCGAGGAACUUGAUGAAAUGAAUUGGUCAGCCCGAGGUAAUGUAUUGAAUCAAUAUUUGAGCAACACUUCAAUUGGAACGACAGUAAAUGUCUUAUAUGUAGGUUUUUGUAAACUUUCUGAUGAUGGAAGUCAUUUUUGUUGUAAUUGAAUACAAAAUUUCACAUUUUC